rnacentral:misc_RNA from 1 species
CCGAAUUGUCAACAAGAGUUGUUGCUGGUCCUCAAACGGGGGCAUGUGCACGCUCUGUUCACACAUCCACUCACACCCUGUGCACCCUCUGUGGUUCUACGGUCAGGGGGCCUGUCCUCCUGCUGUGGUUCUGCAUCUUUACACACACACACCGUAACAAAGUCUCAUGGAAUGCAUGACGCGUUUAACGCAAUACAAUA